rnacentral:rRNA from 1 species
GCCUUCCUACGGGACGCAGCAGUGAGGAAUAUUGGUCAAUGAGCGGGAGCCUGAACCAGCCACGCCGCGUGAGGGAAGAAGGUACAGCGUAUCGUAACCCUCUUUUGUCAGGGAACAAGGGCGGGGACUAGUCCCCGGAUGAGGGUACCUGAAGAAAAAGCAUCGGCUAACUCCGUGCCCGCAGCCGCGGUAAUACGGAGGAUGCGAGCGUUAUCCGGAUUUAUUGGGUUUAAAGGGUGCGUAGGCGGCCUGUUACGUCAGCGGUAAAAGCCCGG